AAUCACUUACCAGGAAAUAGAACCAAAGACACUCAUCUACUUCGAGUUCUCUGGUUCAUAUGCUCAGUAACUGACCUUGUGUGCUUUGUCAGCCUUUCCUCUAAUGUGCUGCAUUUCUUCAGGGCCAAUAAGGAAUAAUAAGGGUAGGGAGCUGAAUGCAUCAUUGUCAGGAACAGCAGGACACUGAGGAGAACUAAAACACAGGAAGAUUCAGUGUGAGCUGUUAGAUAUUUCAUUAGAUUCACCAGAGAACUGGACAGUGGAUCUUCUACAGCGUUCUUAUUGGUCAUAUGUUUAGACUCUCUAACCUUCUGAACAUGUGCAGAAUAAUUCAGAACCUGUAUGACACAAGAAACAUGAUUCUGAAGGAGAAAAUGACUUUUUUCUCCACUGUAGCCUCUUUAGACCUUUUAAAAAUGAAUAAAUCAACUGCAGGAAAUGCAGGAAACUUUGCAACAGAAAGAAAAUGGACAGAAUAGACUUUUAUUUCUACCUGGCAGGAAGUGCAGGGAGGAAGUGAUGUCAUGAAGCAGAUACGCCUGUGAGCUGCUGCUAAUGAAAGAAGCCUGGAGAACAAAGGAGAUGAGUGAGAGCACUGGGAGGAACCAGGAGAUUUCAGGAGGAACUUCCCAGAUUGUGGUCAGUUCUCUUCUAAAGUGUGAUAUACUAAAGUAAAGUGAGCAGUCUGGAAUAAACGGAGUAGAUUUAGAAUCCAGAAGCAGCUUUUUCCUGCUCUUGAACCACCUGCUGGAUAUGAACUGAUCCCAGGACAGGAGAUUCCACCUCUUCAGCUGUUGGGAUGUCUGCACCUUCUGUUGGACCCUGGUGGAGAUUUUAUUAUUUCCAGGAUGUCGUGGACGUAUCUUCUCCAGAGUGUGGGUCUGCAAAGCGGGGAUGGCUUUGGUUUCCAGGUCCUCCAUGAAAAAGUUACUCAUUAUGGCUGAAAGUGGAUCUUUUUUUCAACUUUAUUUUACCAGCAUUAAAACUUUGUCUGCAGAGAGAAAAGAACGACUCCGUUUUUUGCCAGACUGGAGGAUGUUGGAGGGAGUCUGUUAAUCUCUCUGGACCUGACAUUUGAAAACCUCCACCUCUCCUCACCCUCCCAGCCCACUGAUGUGAGGAAAUCCAGCUCUGAACAGACUGAACUUCUAAAUCCCUCCUGGAAGCUUCACCCUGAACAGACAACUGCAACGCCGUGGUAACGGGCAGAUUACAGGAGACCCCACACACCCGUCCCACAACCUGUUCAGCCUGCUGCCAUCAGGGAGGAGACUGAAGAGUCUGAGGACCAGGACCAGCCGACUGAGCAACAGCUUCAUCCACCAGGCUGUCAGGAAGCUGAACUCUCUCCCCUCUCUGCCCUCUCUACCACCCCCUUCCCCCACAUACACAAACUCUGGUCAAUAACCUCUGACCUGCACUGUAAUAGCACAUUCAACCAUCAAGCAUAUUUGCACUUCUUGGACUGUUACUUAUUUGCACUGUUCUGAGUAUUCUGCACUAAAAUCCGUCACUUUAUCUCAUAGUCAUGUUUACAUUUCAGUCAGUUCUGCUUUUCUUAGUUCUUAGUUGUUGCUCAGCUCUAAUUUUGCUUCCUUUGUUCUUUUUUGCCCUUUAAUAUCUUAUUUUCUAAGUCUUUAUUUAAUGUCUACUGUUGCACGAAGAGAGAGGAGCGAAAUUUCGAUUCUUGGUAUGUCAUGUACAUAUUGAAGAAUUGACAAUAAAGCUGACUUUGACUUUGACUUUGAAAUCACUGAAAACUGUUCAAAAUGAAUCCAAAUGACUUGAUUUGCUCAAAAAAGUGGAAUCUUUGUGCAAAAUGAUCCAAAAACUUUUUCUAAUUGACUAAAUUGUAUAAAAUUACCCAAACAUUUGCCCAAAAAGAUUCAAAAUGUAUGCGAUAAGUUGAUGUGAUCUUCUUGUUAAGCACAUUUAACUUCUAGAAUUAGGGUUAGGGUUUUAGGAAUCUAACGUUCCUAAAACUGAUUUAAUGGUUAAAGAUAGAUGCAUACAAAUAUAUUUUCUAAUAUACGCGAGUUUGCACACUGUAUGCAAGUAUUUUUGCUCUAUAUUAAUUCUACAUUACAGGUUGUUUACAUUUUUAAAAACAUUUUUACAUACGUUGUUUUACAUACAAUGUCUUUGACAUGUUUUAGUUCUUCAGUGAACAGUUUUUAUGUCUGAUCUUGUUGUUGAAUCAGUUUUAGACAUGUUUAACUUCUAGAAUUGAAAAGAAAAGAGUCUAAAGAAACUUUCCUUAAACUGAUUUAAUGGUUAAAGAUAGAUGCAUAUAAUAUUUUUUUUGUCAAAUUUAUGCCAGUUUGCUCACUCUGUAUUAGUUCUAGAUUACAGGUUUUCUACAUUUCUGCACACAGAAUCUUCUCUCUAACGUCUUUAACACAUUUUAGUUCUUCUGUGAACAGUUUUUAUGCCUGAUCUUCUUGUUAGAUCAGUUUUAGACACGUUUAACUUCUAGAAUUUAAAAAAAAGAGUCUAACCCUAACAAACUGUCCUGAAACUUGUAAAAUGAAUAAACAGAGUGAUGGACUGCAGUUUGUUUUAUUUUCUGUUCAGCUGAAUCUCAGUUGAAUCCUGAUUUCUGUGCAUCAUAAAGAGAAACAGUUUAUGAUAAA